rnacentral:rRNA from 1 species
UUCCGGUUGAUCCCGCCGGACCUGACUGCUAUCGGAUUGAUACUAAGCCAUGCUAGUCUUUGUAGUAAUACAAGGCAUACGGCUCAGUAACGCGUAGUCAACCUACCCUAUGGACGGGGAUAAUCUCGGGAAACUGAGCAUAAUACCCGGCAGACCACUUAUCCUGGAAUGGUUAGUGGUUAAAAUGAUUCGUCGCCAUAGGAUGGGACUGCGGCCUAUCAGCUUGUUGGUGAGGUAAUGGCCCACCAAGGCGAUUACAGGUACGGGCUCUGAGAGGAGAGGCCCGGAGAUGGGUACUGAGACAAGGACCCAGGCCCUAUGGGGCGCAGCAGGCGAGAAAACUUUGCAAUGUGCGAAAGCACGACAAGGUUAAUCCGAGUGAUUUCUGCUAAAGGAAUCUUUUGUUAGUUCUAAAAAUACUAGUGAAUAAGGGGUGGGCAAGUUCUGGUGUCAGCCGCCGCGGUAAAACCAGCACCUCAAGUGGUCAGGAUGAUUAUUGGGCCUAAAGCAUCCGUAGCCGGCUUUGUUAGUUUUCGGUUAAAUCCAUGUGCUCAACGCAUGGGCUGCCGAAAAUACUGCAUGGCUAGGGAGUGGGAGAGGUAGACGGUACUCAGUAGGAAGGGGUAAAAUCCUUUGAUCUAUUGAUGACCACCUGUGGCGAAGGCGGUCUACCAGAACACGUUCGACGGUGAGGGAUGAAAGCUGGGGGAGCAAACCGGAUUAGAUACCCGGGUAGUCCCAGCUGUAAACGAUGCAGACUCGAUGAUGCAUUGGCAUAAUAGCCAGUGCAGUGUCGCAGGGAAGCCGUUAAGUCUGCCGCCUGGGAAGUACGUACGCAAGUAUGAACUUAAAGGAAUUGGCGGGGGAGCACCACAAGGGGUGAAGCCUGCGGUUCAAUUGGAUUCAACGCCGGG